rnacentral:rRNA from 1 species
AUUUAAAAAAAUUAUUUUUAUUUAAGUUAUAAAUUUUAUUGAAAUAAAAAUAUUAGAGUUUUAUUAUUAAAUCAAAUAAUUAUUUUAAUUAUAGAUUAUUAGUAUUGUGAAAGAAAUUUUUUAAAAUUUUAAAAGAAUAAUUUAUUUUUAGUACCUUGUGUAUCAGGGUUAAUUAAAUAUAAUUUAUUUAUUAAUAAUUUUCUCGAAUUUAAAAGAGUUAAAUUUAUAUAAUUUUUAUUGUAAAAUAAAUAUUAUUAAUAUAGAUUUAGAGGUGAAAUGCUAUUCGAUUUUAAAUAUAUCUAGUUUUUUAAGAAAAAAAUUUAAUUUUACUAAUAAUUAAUAAUAUUUUUAUUUAUUAAUAAGUUAUUUUUAUUGGGUUAUAUUUUAAGGGAUGAGCUUUUAAAUAGAUAAUUAUAAAUAAUAAAUUUAUUAAUAAAGAAAUAGGAUUAGAAAUUUUCAUUUUUAAAAAAGUGUUAUAAUUUUUUUAUUAUAGUAUAAAAUUUAUAUUAAUAUUUUAAUUUUUUUAUUAAAAUAAUAAGUUAAAUUAAUAAAUUUAUGAAAUAAUGAUUAAAUUAGUAAAUANNAUAUAUAUAUAUAUAUAUAUAUAAUUGUUUGUUUAAGGUUAAUUUAAGGAAUUCAGCAAAUAUUUUUUUCACCUGUUUAUUAAAAACAUGUCCUUUUGAAAAUAAUUUAAGGUCUAACCUGCCCAAUGAGGAAUUUAAUGGCCGCAGUAUAUUGACUGUGCAAAGGUAGCAUAAUCAUUAGUUUUUUAAUUGAAAGCUUGUAUGAAGGGUUGAAUGAGAAAAAUACUGUCUCAGAUUAAUUUAAAUUGAAUUUUAUUUUUAAGUUAAAAAGCUUAAAUAUUAAUUAAAGACGAGAAGACCCUAUAGAGUUUAAUAAUAUAAUAAAUUUAUUUUUUAGAAUUUAUAUAAUAAAUUUUACUUGUUAUUUAGUUGGGGUGAUUUAAAAAUUUAAUAAACUUUUUUUAUAUAAAAACAUUAAUUUAUGAAAAAAUGAUCCUUUAAUAAAGAUUAAUAGAUUAAAUUACCUUAGGGAUAACAGCGUAAUUUUUUUUUAGAGUUCAAAUCAAAAAAAAAGUUUGCGACCUCGAUGUUGGAUUAAAAUUUAUAUUUGGUGUAGGAGCUAAAUUAAUUUGGUCUGUUCGACCAUUAAAAUUUUACAUGAUCUGAGUUUAGACCGGUGUAAGCCAGGUUGGUUUCUAUCUUAAUUUUAUUAAGAAUUUUUAGUACGAAAGGACCAAAAUUUUAUUAAAUUAAUUAUUUUAGAAUAAUAAUAAUG